rnacentral:rRNA from 1 species
AACGAACGCUGGCGGCAGGCCUAACACAUGCAAGUCGAGCGAGGUUUUCGGACCUAGCGGCGGACGAGUGAGUAACGCGUGGGAACGUGCCCUCUGCUACGGAAUAGCCCCGGGAAACCGGGAGUAAUACCGGACAAGCCCCACGGGGGCAAGAUUCAGAGCCAAAGGACCGGCCAGCGUCGGAUUAGGUGGUUGGUGAAGUAAUGCCCACCAAGCCGACGAUCCAUAGCUGGUUUGAGAGGAUGAUCAGCCACACUGGGACGGAGACACGGCCCAGACUCCUACGGGAGGCAGCAGUGGGGAAUCUUAGACAAUGGGGGAAACCCUGAUCUAGCCAUGCCGCGUGAUCGAUGAAGGCCUUAGGGUUGUAAAGGUCUUUCAGUGGGGAAGAUAAUGACUGUACCCACAGAAGAAGCCCCGGCUAACUCCGUGCCAGCCGCCGCUGUAA